rnacentral:lncRNA from 1 species
UUCCAAGGGUGAUACCCCCGCACCUUGAGAACGCCUAAAGCUCUCUUCUAUUACGAAAUCGCAGCUCUGCGCAAAAUUGGCCACCGCCUAUUCAGAAUCGCCAAAGUUCGACGAUGGCAACUUUGAGGGUUGCCCAGCCUAUAUCACCGCCGCUAGGCCGUAGACCCCCAUCCCCUAGCUCAAACUCAUCAACAACGGGAAAACCCAUUGUGAAUUUGUUAGCUUCACCGAGCCAAAGUUCUCAUAGCUCUGAAAAACCUUGCCGUCUUUGACUCCCCAAUUCCAGUGACUCAGUCUUUACGCUGAAUUCCUGUCCUACUGCUGGUCUACUAAAUGAAAAGGAAAAAGAAAAAGAAAAGGUCUCCAUUUCGUCCUCACCAUCGACCGCUCGCUCGUAUCCUUCCACUCAAACAUAGCAAAAGGUCAUUGCCGUUGCUGAACUCGCUCAUUUCAUUUUUCAAAAUUUCGAACUCGUGGACAAUUGCUACUCACCGAUCCUCGAAUCUCAAAAUCUUAUUCCUGACCGCAUCCAACCCACGAAGCUACUAUUUCAACAUAAGACCGUUAUCUCUGUGAAUGGAUUCUCCUUGGGCAGAGGGAUAAUUAAUGAUAGCCGCCUCAUACAACCACCAUUACCUACCGCUUCAGCUAAAUUCUCAUCGCCUUUUGCCGAAGGUGGUCGAUGGCUCCAUCUUCACAAGACUGUAGUCGUUCCCUCUCAAGCCCGACUGAACAUGGUAGGGGCAAUCGAGCCUUAAUUUCCCAUCCAACUCAAAGAUCAUCGCUGACAUGCCCUUUCACCGAAAUUCGGUAGAAUGAAAUAGGCUAGUCAGCCCUCUCUUACCAAAAAGCUAACGUAAUUAAGUUCUCAAAACAUCUUGUGUUAAUAAUAUAAAAAUCAAAGUAUAAAAUCAAAGUAUGCAAAGGAAAACUCCGAGGCAAAACUCAAAGUAUUCAAAAGCGCAAUCCAAACUAUUCAAAGUGAAACUCAAAG